AAAACAGGGCAGGGGGUAAAAUCCACAUAAUUAGAAUCGAGUUCUUUAGACAUUCACUCUGAGCAUUAUCUCUUCUUGGCUGAAAUAUCCUACUCAAUGACUUUUCUUUUCAAGAAACUGAAGCACAGUUUGAGAAAGACACUGGCCCCAGAAGACCCAGUGCAUAUAUAUUCUGCCGAUAUUCUUCAAGGCUGAAAAAUUAAAGCCACAAUUAUUAGACCUGACAUCCUUCUGAGAGACUGAGUAAGGAGAGACCACCAGCAGGAACGGAUGGAUCUUGAAAGCCUUCCCAACUCAGUCUUGACCAGUGCAUGAAGCUAUGAUUAAGUCACCUUGUUAUACCUCCCCAAGGGAUGAGAGACCUGCUCACAGAACUAUCCUGUCAUUGUCUGUCCUUCUCCCCAUCCUUCCUUUGGCUGCAACACUGAGGGCUGGCCUUUGAGGCAAAUGAAAUUUGCUUUUAGUGCCACUAACUCUCCUUAUUGCUCUCUCUCCUUUCAGCAAUGCUCACUACAAGGAAUCUGGCACUCUCCUACAAUUCUGAUGGUCCAAUCAGAGUUAUAUCCAAUGUGAACAAGUUGGUUUGUCAGUUCUUCAGCAAGGCAUUGAAGGAAUGAGGGGCCAGAGAGAGAGAGAGAGAGAGAG